UAAGGAAUAUUGGACAAUGGUGGCAACACUGAUCCAGCCAUGCCGCGUGCAGGAUGAAUGCCCUAUGGGUUGUAAACUGCUUUUGUACGGGAAAAAACCUCUUUACGUGUAAAGAGCUGAUUGUACUGUAAGAAUAAGGAUCGGCUAACUCCGUGCCAGCAGCCGCGGUAAUACGGAGGAUCCAAGCGUUAUCCGGAUUCAUUGGGUUUAAAGGGUGCGUAGGCGGAAUGAUAAGUCAGUGGUGAAAUCCUGCAGCUUAACUGUAGAAUUGCCAUUGAUACUGUCAAUCUUGAGUACAUUUGAUGUGGGCGGAAUGUGUCAUGUAGCGGUGAAAUGCUUAGAUAUGACACAGAACACCGAUUGCGAAGGCAGCUCACAAAACUGUAACUGACGCUGAGGCACGAAAGCGUGGGUAUCAAA
rnacentral:rRNA from 1 species